CAGUAGCCGCGGUAAUACGAAGGGGGCUAGCGUUGCUCGGAAUGACUGGGCGUAAAGGGCGCGUAGGCGGCGGCCAAAGUCAGGCGUGAAAUUCCCGGGCUCAACCUGGGGGCUGCGUUUGAUACUUGGUUGCUUGAGUGGGGAAGAGGGUCGUGGAAUUCCCAGUGUAGAGGUGAAAUUCGUAGAUAUUGGGAAGAACACCGGUGGCGAAGGCGGCUCACUGGACCGACACUGACGCUGAGGCGCGAAAGCGUGGGGAGCAAACAGGAUUAGAUACCCCUGUAGUCCCUGUCUCUUAUAC
rnacentral:rRNA from 1 species